rnacentral:tRNA from 1 species
GGCCGGUGAAGCGAGCCGGGCUCCCCGCGGGCUGCAAACCCGUUGAGGGCACCUCAACAUGGGCUCUGUUCGGUUCGACUCCGAAGCCGGUCUCCA